GACGAACGCUGGCGGCGUGCUUAACACAUGCAAGUCGAACGGAAAGGCCCUGUUUUUGUGGGGUGCUCGAGUGGCGAACGGGUGAGUAACACGUGAGUAACCUGCCCUUGACUUUGGGAUAACUUCAGGAAACUGGGGCUAAUACCGGAUCGGCGCUCCUGCUGCAUGGUGGGGGUUGGAAAGCUUUGGCGGUUGGGGAUGGACUCGCGGCUUAUCAGCUUGUUGGUGGGGUAGUGGCUUACCAAGGCUUUGACGGGUAGCCGGCCGGAGAGGGUGACCGGCAACAUGGGGAUUGAGAUCGGCCCCGGACUCCAACGGGAGGAAGCAGUGGGAAAUAUUGCACAAUGGGCGGAAGCCUGUUGCAGCAACGCGGCGUGCGGAAUACCGGCCUUCGGGUUGUAACCCGCUUUCGCCUGGGACGAGGCGUGAGUGACGGUAAUGGGUAAAGAAGCACCGGCUAACUACGUG
rnacentral:rRNA from 1 species